rnacentral:lncRNA from 1 species
GCACACCUUGGCUGCGCUUCUGAGGGGCUCCCCCCCCCACCCGUCCUUCCCCUUCUCCUCCCUCAUCUUCCACAGAGGCACGAGCUGCAAUGGGGAGACCGGGACCCUGGAGCCUGGCUGGACUAUCAGCUUUGCCACUAAUGCAUCUGGACCCUGAGCCUGCAGCUCAGCCUUUACGUACCUUGGUUGCUCCUGUGAAAUGGGGUGACACUGGCCCCGACCUCAUGGAGUGUUCCCACAGUUUGGGACAGUACCCAGCCCCACACAGGUGCUCUGUGCACACACGGGAUGACCGCUCCCUGGGUGAGCUCUGCCGGGCAAAUGCAGGUACAAGCCAGCGCUGGUGA